rnacentral:rRNA from 1 species
GAUGAACGCUGACAGAAUGCUUAACACAUGCAAGUCAACUUGAAUUUGGGUUUUUAACUUAGGUUUGGGUGGCGGACGGGUGAGUAACGCGUAAAGAACUUGCCUCACAGCUAGGGACAACAUUUGGAAACGAAUGCUAAUACCUAAUAUUAUGAUAAUAGGGCAUCCUAUAAUUAUGAAAGCUAUAAGCGCUGUGAGAGAGCUUUGCGUCCCAUUAGCUAGUUGGAGAGGUAACGGCUCACCAAGGCGAUGAUGGGUAGCCGGCCUGAGAGGGUGAUCGGCCACAAGGGGACUGAGACACGGCCCUUACUCCUACGGGAGGCAGCAGUGGGGAAUAUUGGACAAUGGACCGAGAGUCUGAUCCAGCAAUUCUGUGUGCACGAUGAAGUUUUUCGGAAUGUAAAGUGCUUUCAGUUGGGAAGAAACAAAUGACGGUACCAGCAGAAGAAGUGACGGCUAAAUACGUG